CACUGAUAGUUCUGGUCACGUACCGUUCUGCUUGGAAAGCGCUGCAUGGAAGUUCAUUAAAAUACCUUUGAAUUCUAAUCCUCCCCCUCCUUUUACCAGUAAAAAGGCUUAGAUUAAAGAUUCUUCAGUAGUACUCAAUUUAGGUGAAAGUUGCUCUAAUUUCUUACUAGGGAUUUGAAAUUACGAAGCAAGCCAGUAGGAGAUUAUUCAGCAUUGCAGAAGGCCUGACAGAGACCUGCGGUAUCUGACCACAGUGGAUCAAGAGCGGAGGGAGUGAGCGUUCAUUCACAGCCACGCCAGUCGCAGAGUUGAUUGUAUAUCAUCAGCAUGCCUUGGGCACCAGAGUACACAGCAGAUACAGAAGAAGGCAGAGUCAUUGGACAUCCACCACGCCACACAUCGUAAGAUGCCACAAUGAGAAAAAACACCAUAUCUCAUCAUAGGAUUGGACAAGGAGCCAGAAUUCAAGGGUAAUUCUAGAGAACUUUGUGCUACAGUAAACACACUGAUUGGACAGUUAUUUUAAUGUUAAUUCUCCCUUCUUUUCAUUAUUAUAGAGAUGUAGUUAAUACAAGUAAUGUCUGUUGGUACCACUUUAAGAAUGUAGACAGGUUUUCUCUAUGGCAUUGACAUGAUUACUCAGUGGAUAGCUUGCCAGGAAGUCUAUCUGUCUGCUUGUGCAAAAGCUGUUUGUCUCUUUAGAUUCAACUUUAACAUGGAUUACUGCUUUGCAAGAUGUAACUCCUUGUUGGUUUAAAUUACCACAGUCAUCAAGUAUCUUAGAGAGAGCUACUGAGACAAGAAUCACAUGCAGAAAUCGCUCAGCACCAUCCCUCACCUUCAGAGAAAAAUAUUUAACAUUCCUCUUGGCCAACAAAGGAGAAAAAUGCCACCUCAUCUACUUUACACAAUUUUCAUUAACUUACUUCUAUUCAUUAUUAAUCAUCUAUCCACUUCUGACAAUUGUCUUUCCCUUACUUUCUCCUGUUUUUUUUGUAACCCUAGCAAAGGAGUUGGUAGAAUUUGGUAGGGUGGGCAAUAUAUUUGGUGUGAUGGAAAAUAUACUCCUAGGAUUUCUGUUACGUCUCAAAUCAACGAAAAAUUAUCACAUGCUUAUUCUGCUUCCUUUUUACUACCUCAAUGUACAGUUCUUAUGUACGGCAAGGUCUACAUGGAUAACUAGUACACCAAAGUGUUUCCACAGUAUCUUGGUGCACAUGAUGGUAAUAAACCAAUGUUAUCAAUACCCCCCACCAUGUCACAGUAAUCCUAGGGGGGAGAAAUGAUAUUUAGCUUGGGGCUAGUUGUGAGCACAAAUGUAGUUUUCACUGAGAAGAAGACUAAUUCCCCAGGAAUCUUAGUACUGUCAGUGAUUCUUCAAUCAGUUCUUUUAAUCUUCACAGCGCAUCAUCAGUAAAGACACAGCAAAAACGUGGCAGAUGUUGGGAAAUGUAUGAUAAUGCAUUUUGAUAAAAGGAACAACAGUGCAGACUGUUAUCUAAAUGGAGAAAAGGUUCAAACAUCAGAGGUACAAAGAGAAUUAGGAGUCAUCAUGUAAGAUUUCGAGAAGGUUAACUCACAGUUUGAGCUUGUGGUAAAAUAGGCUUAAGUCAGCAUGGUUUUCAAGGGGAAAUCUUACUUGAGUAAUCUGUUAAAAUUAUAUGAGGAAAUAGCAGACAAAAUAGACAAGAGAGAGUCAAUGGACGUCAUUUACUUGGAUUUUCACAAUGCCUUUGACAAGGUGCCACAUGUAAGACUGCUUAACAAGAUAAGAGUCAAUGGUAUCAUAGGAAGGAUACGGGCAUGGAUAGAAGACUGGAAGGAGGCAAAGGGUAAAAAAAAUUGCCUAUUCUGGGUGGUUGUUAGUGAUAAGUGGUGUUCUGGGAGGAUCAGUACUGGGAUCCCUUCUUUUCAUGUUAUAUACCAACAACUUGUAAGAUGGAAUUGAUGGCAUUGUGGCUAAAUUUGCAGAUGAUACAAAGAUAGAUAGAGAGGCAGAUAGUGUUGAGGAGGCAGAGAAUCUUCAGAAGGACUUGGACAGAUUGGGAGAAUGGGCAAAGAAUUGGCAGAUGGAAUAUAGUGUAGGGAACUGUAUUACCAUGCACUUUGGUAGAAGAAAUAAAAGCAUAGAACAUUCUCCAAAUGGGGAGAAAAUUCAAAAAUCAGAGGUACAAAGGGACUUGGGAGUACUUGUGCAGGAUUUCCUAAGGGUUAACUUGCAGAUUGAGUCGGUGGUAAGGAAGGCAAAAUCAAUGUUAGCAUUCAUUUCGAGAGGACUAGAAUAAAAGAGGAAGAAUGUGAUGUUGAAGCUUUAAAAGGCAUUGUUUGAACUUGAUAUGGAUUAUUGUGAGCAGCUUUGGGAUGCUUAUUUAAGAAAAGACAUGCUGGCAUUUGAGGUCCAGAGGAAGUUCACAAGAAUAAUUCCAGGAAUGAAAGAGUUAAUAUAUGAGAAGCACUUGUUGGCUCUGGGCCUGUACUCACCAGAGUUUAGAAGUUUGGGGGGGGGGUGGAUUUCAUUGAAACCUAUUGAAUAUUGAAAAGACUGGACAGAGUAGAAGUGGAGGGGAUGUUUCCAAUUGUGAGUAAGUCUAGGACCAGAGGGCACAGCUGCAGAGUAGAAGGACAUCCAUUUAGAACAGAGAUGAGAAGGAACUUCUUUAGUUGGAGUGUGGCGAUUCUGUGGAAUUCAUUGCCAUGGACGGUUGUGGAGGCCGAGUCAUUGAGUACAUUUAAAGCAGAGGUUGAUAGGUUCUUGGUUAGUCAGGGUGUCAAAGAUUAUGGGAAGAAGGCAGGAGAAUGGCGCUGAUGGAAUGGCGGAGCAGACUUAAUUGGUCAAGUGACCAAAUUCUGUGCCUAUGUCUUAUGGUCUUAAAAAUAACGUUCAGAACUCCUGACUGUUGUGUAUUGAAACUAAAGAUCCCAGGAAUGUUCAGAAGAUAAAACAAGAUAUGUGUAAAGAGAAAUUCUUAACAUUGCUGACAAAGAAUUUUACUGGAGAAACCACUGGGGGAAAAUGUGACAGAUCGAAGCCUUGACAAUGUGUGGUAAAGAACUGCUUCAAGGUUGUAAUUCUUGGAAGAGAAGCAAUGGUAUAGUCUACAAUAAAUUAAUUUAGCCUACAAUCAAUGAACAUCAAAAAAUGCUGCAGACUGUAAAUCUGAAAUAAAAACUGAAAAUGUUGGAAACACUCAGGAGAUCAGGCAGCAUCUGCAGAAGGAGAAACAAUUAACAUUUCAGAUCCAGGAUCCUGAUUGUUGAAAAACAUAUCCAGCUGUAGUAGUCUUCCCGAGAAGAAAAUCUGCCAUCUUCACCUUAUCUGUCCUAUGUGUGACUCCAAAUCCAUCAAUGUGAUUGCUGAUUGUCUCAUUUUCAAUUAAAGAUGGUCAAUAAAUGAUACCCAUAUCCCCUAAAUAAAUAAGAGUACUGUAUUUCUGAAACAAUUGUGAUACUGUAGUUCAUAAAAAUGAAGUCAUUUUAAAUUUUGAAUACAUGAGGGGAAGCCACUUAUACCAGCUGCCAAUUUUCAUUUCCAAUAACUUCAAUAGCUUGAUCUGAUAUUUUAGAUAUAAAACAUGUUUGAGAUUCUGUUGGCAUCAACAUAAGAAAAAAAAUAAUGUAUGAAAAAGAUAGAUGAAUUGGCAAUGUUUUUCACAAACUAAGACUGGAUUUUAUUUAUUGAACCGUUGAAGGAGUUUGUCUAAAGUAGUGGUUCCAAACAUUUUUAAAUGCCAUGGACUAAUAUCAUUAAGCAAGGUGUUUGUGGACUCAAGGUUGGGAGCCCCUGAUUUAAAGGAUCAUGGCUGAAUAAAAAGACAUGAUAUAUUCUAUCUCCUCAAUCAGCUCUCAUAUUACAAGGAAAAACAGUAAUUAUCAAUGACUGGAGAGUGUAAUUAUGAUGAAGAAAUGAUUGCUGAUGAGUUACAGACUGUAGCCUCUGGUUCUUUGCAUGUCUCUAAUAAUAAAAUGUUCUCUACUGUACAUUUUGCUAAUAUCCAAGUCAGUUGAAACACAAAAGCAUUUAACCUAGAAGUAUUUGCAUGCGACUUAAUCUCGUUAGAACUUUUGGUGUUUUCAUUCCAACUACAUGAAUAGAGUUUUAAUGAUCUUAAUGCCUUUUUGAGCAUUGUGCUUAGCACAAUGAGAGAUGAUAUUCAAUGGGAAGCAUUUCAUAGCAUUUAUUUAACACUGCCUUUAGAGAGUCUGGUUUAACAGUACUAUCUGGUUAAAGUCUUGCUGCAAGAUGGGAAUAAUUAAAACUUGUUGAAUGUAGUCCAUGACACUAAGAGACUUAUUAGGAGCACGGCAGAUCUUCUCGCCCGUGCGGAGGAAAUUUUUCCACUUACCUAAAGAGGUCUUUGACCUCUCAUUAGCUGCUGAACUGAUUUAUUCUGGCAAGUGCCAGUUUCUUUGCUCUGACAUCACUUCCAAUGCAGUUUGGAUUUUAUUAACAUUAUGGGGCUAUAUUAACACACAGGACUCUCAUGUGAGUCAGGAGGACAAAUAACUAUAGCCAAAAAUGGUGGUACUGAAAUCAAACUAUGGGGGCAGCCAAGCAGGAAAUGGAGGGUGACUUCAAGGCCAGUUAAAGCAAAGUAAUCAACCCACUCUUCUUUCUAAGAUGUGGUACAUUGCAAUUUACAUUUUAAACUUUAUUCAUGACUGAUCAGCAAUUUUGUCAAUCUCUCCUUGUACUUUUGCAGUCGCCUCCUCUAUUCCCACUGCCUUCCUUGCACAUCACCCCACCCCCCACCCCCCAAAUGUGUGGCAUGCAAAAUUAAUUACUUUACAAAUCAUUUCGAUACACCAUUAAUAGGAGAGAAUCAAGCAUCAGCCCUUGGGACUUCUCUACUUCUUUUCCAUUACCCAGUUAUGAAUUCAUGCUUGUGUCCUACCCUUGAAACCGCCUGAGCUUAGUCUCCCAUGCAGUAAUUUAUCAAAGACCUUUCAGAAGUUAAGGCAUAGAAUAUGAAAUAUCUUCUCCCUGUCAGAAAGGCUUGAUAUAUACUUCGGAAAAAACUCUUCCAUUGAUGACACAAAAUCUAUGCCUUCUAAACCAUGUUAACUGGCACAUUAAGAUACUUUUGCAAAGCACUUUUGUACUGGCUAUCAGUAUUUUCAUUCAGGUUCAAUCUUAAGUGAAACUUAUGGAUCUUUAGAUUGUGUACUUGGACAGAAAUAUGGCUAACAAAAUUCAAAACGGACAUAUUUAAAUAUUAGGCAAACUAAAAAGAAGGAACAAUAUAAAUAUGAAAUAAAUGGAUUUAAACUUUUGGAAAUACGCCUGGAAAUCCACUCAUGUAUCUGCUUGGUGUUAAGGUAACACAAUCUUCUCUGAACUCAGAAGGUAAUGGAGAGGACGGAAUGAGAACAGUGUUUAGCAUAAUGCUUUACAGUGCAGUGAUGUGGGUUCAAUCCCUGCCAGUGUUUGUAAAGAUUUUGUAUCUUCUCUGUAUGACUAUAUGGGUUUCCCCUGGGUCCUCGGGUUUCCUCCCACAAUUCUAAGGCUAUGUUGGGCCAGAAGCGUGGCAGUUCUCCAACUGUGGUGGUUGUUGAUGCAAAUGAUGCAUUUCAAUGCUUCAUUGUACAUCUGACAAAGAAAUCUAAUCAUUAUUAAAACUUCACUUCAUGAUUGUGUGGGACAUUUCAGAACAUUAUCCAAUGUCUGCAGUAUUGCUGAGAUUCUAUUUUUUGGAACAUAAGAUCAGGAUUUCGUCUGCUCAUUGAGGAUGUCAUAAAAUAUCACCAUCCUCCAAAAUUCUCCAAUAAAAAUAUAGUUGUUACCAAUUUAAUCCUCGAGGUAUUUCUGUCUCACAGCCUGUUUGCCUCAUUCAUCUUACUAAGUGAAAAUUGACCGUCAUGUUUGUCAACAGGUCAGCUGUAAUAACAUGAGCAAUUAAUUUUCAAGGCAACACUUUGAAAGCCCAUUAGUGCAAAAAGUUGCAGAAAAUAAAUGUUUCUAAUGACAUUGCUUCACACUUCGCUUCAACUUUUGAGACUUUUGGAAUCCAUAUUCUUCCUCCCCUACUUCAUUCCUGUGGUAUCAUUUUCUCAUUAUUAAGUGCUGAUCCCUUUGCACUAGAAAAGUACCACAUGGUGAAGAUAACUUGAAAUAGAGAGCUCUUUACCCUCGGUCUGAAA